rnacentral:rRNA from 1 species
UACGGAGGGUGCAAGCGUUAUCCGGAUUUAUUGGGUUUAAAGGGUGCGCAGGCGGGUCCUUAAGUCAGUGGUGAAAUCCCUUCGCUUAACGAAGGAACUGCCAUUGAUACUGAGGUUCUUGAAUCUAGUUGACGUUAGUGGAAUGUGUCAUGUAGCGGUGAAAUGCUUAGAUAUGACACAGAACACCGAUCGCGAAGGCAGCUAACGAAGCUAGUAUUGACGCUCAGGCACGACAGCAUGGGGAGCAAACAGG